rnacentral:rRNA from 1 species
AUUGAACGCUGGCGGCAGGCCUAACACAUGCAAGUCGAACGAGUGGCGGACGGGUGAUUAAUGUCUGGGCAACUGCCCGAUGGAGGGGGAUAACUACUGGAAACGGUAGCUAAUACCGCAUACCAGCGGAUGUGCCCAGAUUGGAUGAGCUAGUAGGUGGGCUAACGGCUCACCUAGGCGACGAGCCCUAGCUGGUCUAAGAGGAUGACCAGCAACACGGGAACGGAGACACGGUCUAGACUCCGACGUGAGGCAGCGUUGGGGAAUAUUGCACAAUGGGCGCAAGCGUGAUGCAGCCAUGCCGCGUGUAUGAAGAAGUCCUUCGGGUUGUAAAGUACGUUCAGCGAGGAGGCGUUACUCGCAGAAGAAGCACCGGCUAACUCCGUGCCAGCAGCCGCGGUAAGAC